AGAGUUUGAUCAUGGCUCAGAUUGAACGCUGGCGGCAGGCCUAACACAUGCAAGUCGAACGGUAACAUUUCUAGCUUGCUAGAAGAUGACGAGUGGCGGACGGGUGAGUAAUGCUUGGGAACUUGCCUUUGCGAGGGGGAUAACAGUUGGAAACGACUGCUAAUACCGCAUAACGUCUACGGACCAAACGGGGCUUAGGCUCCGGCGCAAAGAGAGGCCCAAGUGAGAUUAGCUAGUUGGUAAGGUAAUGGCUUACCAAGGCAACGAUCUCUAGCUGUUCUGAGAGGAAGAUCAGCCACACUGGAACUGAGACACGGUCCAGACUCCUACGGGAGGCAGCAGUGGGGAAUAUUGCACAAUGGGGGAAACCCUGAUGCAGCCAUGCCGCGUGUGUGAAGAAGGCCUUCGGGUUGUAAAGCACUUUCAGUUGUGAGGAAAAGUUAGUAGUUAAUACCUGCUAGCCGUGACGUUAACAACAGAAGAAGCACCGGCUAACUCCGUGCCAGCAGCCGCGGUAAUACGGAGGGUGCGAGCGUUAAUCGGAAUUACUGGGCGUAAAGCGCACGCAGGCGGUUUGUUAAGCUAGAUGUGAAAGCCCCGGGCUCAACCUGGGAUAGUCAUUUAGAACUGGCAGACUAGAGUCUUGGAGAGGGGAGUGGAAUUCCAGGUGUAGCGGUGAAAUGCGUAGAUAUCUGGAGGAACAUCAGUGGCGAAGGCGACUCCCUGGCCAAAGACUGACGCUCAUGUGCGAAAGUGUGGGUAGCGAACAGGAUUAGAUACCCUGGUAGUCCACACCGUAAACGCUGUCUACUAGCUGUUUGUGA
rnacentral:rRNA from 1 species